rnacentral:rRNA from 1 species
GGACGCAAGUCUGAUCCAGCCAUUCCGCGUGCAGGAUGAAGGCCCUCGGGUUGUAAACUGCUUUUGUACGGAACGAAAAGGUCUCUAUUAAUACUAGGGGCUCAUGACGGUACCGUAAGAAUAAGCACCGGCUAACUACGUGCCAGCAGCCGCGGUAAUACGUAGGGUGCAAGCGUUAAUCGGAAUUACUGGGCGUAAAGCGUGCGCAGGCGGUUAUAUAAGACAGAUGUGAAAUCCCCGGGCUCAACCUGGGAACUGCAUUUGUGACUGUAUAGCUAGAGUACGGUAGAGGGGGAUGGAAUUCCGCGUGUAGCAGUGAAAUGCGUAGAUAUGCGGAGGAACACCGAUGGCGAAGGCAAUCCCCUGGACCUGUACUGACGCUCAUGCACGAAAGCGUGGGGAGCAAACAGGAUUAGAUACCCUGGUAGUCCACGCCCUAAACGAUGUCAACUGGUUGUUGGGUCUUCACUGACUCAGUAACG